ACUCCUACGGGAGGCAGCAGUAGGGAAUCUUCCACAAUGGGCGCAAGCCUGAUGGAGCAACACCGCGUGAGUGAAGAAGGGUUUCCGGCUCGUAAAGCUACUGUUCGUUAAAGAAGAACACGUAUCGAGAGUAACUGUUCAUACGUUGACGGGUAUUUAACCAGAAAGUCACGGCGUAACUACGUGCCAGCAGCCGCGGUAAUACGUAGGUGGCAAGCGUUAUCCGGAUUUAUUGGGCGUAAAGAGAGUGCAGGCGGUUUUCUAAGUCUGAUGUGAAAGCCUUCGGCUUAACCGGAGAAGUGCAUCGGAAACUGGAUAACUUGAGUGCAGAAGAGGGUAGUGGAACUCCAUGUGUAGCGGUGGAAUGCGUAGAUAUAUGGAAGAACACCAGUGGCGAAGGCGGCUACCCGGUCUGCAACUGACGCUGAGACUCGAAAGCAUGGGUAGCGAACAGGAUUAGAUACCCUGGUAGGAUAGCG
rnacentral:rRNA from 1 species